AGCAUGAGGCUGUGGGUCAUAGUCAGUCCAAAAAUGUCAAUUUUUUCUCACCCUUAUGUUGUUUCCAAACUUGAAUUUUCUUUCUUCUAUGGAACACAAUAUUAAAGCAACUUGUUUUUGUACAACUUUCAUUGUACACACUUACAAAUAAAGUUUCUUUAUUGGCAUCUGUGGUUCCAUGAAGAACCUCUAACAUCCAUGAAAACUUUCCACUGGACAAAAGGUUCUGUAUAAUGAAAAAGGUUUGUUAGAUUAUUAAUUAAUGUUCUUCAUACUGAAAAAAAGAGGUUCUUUUAAGAUCGGUUCUCUGAAGAAAAUGGAGAAGAAAACUGAAAAUGGUUCUUCUUCGCAAAAAACAACAACAACCUCAUCAUCAAAAAAACAACAACAACAACAACAAAAAAAACUUCACAAAUUUAUUUGCCAAGCUUUACGAAUCUUUUGUUGCAAAUCAGUGGUUCUGAGCACUGCCAAAGUCAGGUGAACCACUGAAAUUUCGAAACACUUAUGAUGCAAGGAAGCCUCGUUUACUGAAAUCAUGUGACUUUGGCAGUUUGAGAUCAUCUGAUACAUGCUCUGAACCACAGAUUCGAAACAAAAGAUUCGUAAAGCUUCAAAGCUUCAUGAAGCAGUGUUUAGUUCAGUGAUGAGUGCUAGAUGUUGUUGAAUAAAGUCAUUAUUUUGUUUUUUUUGGCACACAAAAAGUAUUCUCGUUGCUUCAUAACAUUAAGUUUGAACCAUUGUAGUCACAUGAACUGUUUUAAAUGUUUUUAGUACCUUUCUGGGCGUUUGAAAGUCUAAGUUAACUUGUUUUCAAUGCAGUCCUCACGAGUCAUCGGAUUGUAUCAAAAAUAUCUUAAAUUGUGUUCCGAAGAUGAACGAAGGUCUUACGGGUGUGGAACGACAUGAGGAAAAAAAGACACAUUUUGUAAUUUAUCACCAGGCAUGACAGCAAUCACAUGAGGCAGCCAAUAGGGAACAGUUACCACCAGUUACUUCUGGUGAAAGGACAACUUCUCUUUUAAUGUCAGCAAAGUCACAAGUACACACUACAGUAUAAACAGUAAGUAGCAGAUGAAGGUACAAUAGUGGUGUCUUUAUAUUGGGUGUCAGUUGGGUUAAGAACCCAGAUGGCUCUGUUGUGCAAAAUGCACUGUAAAUCAAGUGGAGAAUGUCAUGAUAAGGACAUUUGUGUGCCUCUGUGAUGGGUUUGACAACUGAUUAAUGUAAUUAUACACAGGAAUAACAAUUUUAUGAGGACUUUUGGCACUUUUUAAUUUCUGAGACCACAACAGAGAUGACAAGAAGGUUGUCAAAAGUACCAACUUCGGUACCAAGUCGGUAAUGUAAUUUUAAAAAUGUGACGAUACUAGCAUUUCCCCCUAGCAUUUUGAGUGCUGUUGAGCGGAUUCUUAAACACCUCUGAUUGGCUUAAAAAUUACAUUUUUUUUAAAAAAUUUAAAAUUACAUUACUGAAGUUGGUACUUUUGACAACCCUGAGCUGAGCACCACAUGCACCAACCGAAGGAGCACAUAGACCAACCACUAGACCACUGCUUUCCACAGUAAUAAGGACAAAGAAUCUAGGAAACUUAAUCAAACCACCAUAUCCAGUUCUGACAGGCGUGUCACAGAAACUUUUUUAAUCACUGUCUGAUAUACAACUUCUCCACCACCUACAGAAACGCUUUGCUAUGGGUAAAAAAACAUCGCUGUCACCAGUGUUAUCGAGGUUAUCUAGACUGCGUAGUGUAGCAGGAAGGACCACAGAAUCUGAAAUGGAUCUCUUAAUCUUUUGUUGAUAUGACAACCGCUGUACCAGCCUGAGAAAAUUUAGAGUCAUAAACAGUUCUUUUACUGUAACUUGUAAGAUUACCUGAAGUGAAUGUGAAAUAGACCACAAUAAUUAGAGCACAUGGAUUCAAUGGGAUCAUGAAAAAUGGGCUCCCUUUAGAGGGAACUUCUACACUGGGUCAGCUCCAUAACAGAAUGGCACCAGACGAAAUUUACAUUUGCUUAAAUACCCAAAUAGCUAUUUAGCUAUUGGUUAACAUUAUAAUAACAAAAAAAAAAAAAAAAACCAAAAUUCAACAUGAAAUGUGAAUCGGUCCUAUUUACAUUUUUAAAAGGGAUAGUUCACCCAAAAAUAAAAAUAAUAAAAAUUCUGUCAUCAUUUACUUACCCUCAAGUUGUUCCAAACCUGUAUGAAUUUUCUGUUGAUCACAAACAAACAAAAACAAAACAACAACAACAACAAAAAACAAACAAAAAAAAAAUAUAUAUAUAUAAUAUAUAUAUACAUUUUGAAGAAUGUCAGUAACCAAACAGUUGACUUUUUUUUUUUUCUUCUCCAUAUUAUGGAAGUUAGUGGGGCCUAUUAAAUGUUUGGUUACCCAUAUUCUUCAAAACAUCUUCUUUUGUUAAAAUGCCCAACUUUACAGCAGAAAAAAAUAUGUUUACAGCCUGGUACAAAAAGUGGUUUUGGUCUAUACAGCUAAUUUUGCCCUUCAUGACAACUGUGAGAGGGGUGAAUUUUUUUAUAACUCAUCCGUUUAAAUUAUAUUAAGCCUUAAAGUUCGGCAUAAUUAAGGGGUGUGGCCACUUGAGUGACAGGUGGAUUGUAGCUGCUGUCUGUUAGCCGUCAUGUCACCUCAGCUAAUUUCAGCCACUGAACUUGGCAUCUCUGCCGUGUUUGUGCCUUUUUUCUGGAUUAUUUCAUACAAUUAUCAAAUAAUAUAGCUUGCUCUGCGGUUAAUGGUCACUACAUGUCUGUGUACAUGUGCACACAUGCGGAAGAUAAACAGAACACAUGUUGUUGGAUCAUCUUGGCAUUGGCUAAAAGUUUUGUUCGUCAGAUUUACUACACUUGACAAUAGCUGGAGAAUGCCUCUCAAGACAUCACAAAAUCCGACAGCACUGCUUGGAUAUUAUAACUAAAACUGCUGUACUAUUUUGAAAAAAAUUUACUUUGCGGACGCGGGCUCAUUUGUUUGUGAGAGUCCAGUGUAUACGAUCGUACACGAGUUUUACAACAUAAACGCUGCUCAGAUUGCAUAAUUUCUUGAAGAACGAUGAUGGAGAGCAGAUCGUUUAGAAGAAAUGUGAUGCAAAAAAGGGACAAUAUAUCAAUAUUUCAUGGAUUUAACGCUUUUGUGGACAAAAAGUGCUGUUGGAUGUUUUUCGAUGGAUGCUUCAUGGACAUUUUACCCAAGUGCGACGGAUUGGAUUCAUCUCACGAUCGCUAUUUCAUUACAAAGGUAGGAAGUCCCGUUUUGAUUUUGUGCGUUGUCAUUUGCACACCCAACACAAAUUACAAUAUUACUGUUGCUGGAGCAUCUAGUAUAUCGUAAAAAAAAAAAAAAAAAAAAAGACACCGUAGAUUGACAGUAAACCCUUAGAACUUUCAAAUGAUAUAACUUCUUAUCUUUAUUAAUAUUUUAGAUAGAUAGCUCCUUAGCCUGAGCUAACUUGGUCACGUCGAGCUAGGCGGGCAUGGUUUCAGCAACCAGGUAUCUCAGUUCCAGCCACGUUAAGCCUCUUUGCCCAUUUUCAGUUAUCUGGGAGUGACGCGUGGUGACACGCUGCCAAGAUGGCGACGGCCCAAUUUAGGCUUCAAAAAUGCUCUUCAGAGACCUAUGGGUAACAUCACGGACACUAUGUCCUUAUUUUUUUUUAGUCUAUGAUUUUAUUCCAAAGAAAACAUUUCUUUGACGUGUGUUGGUCAUUAUCUUUCAUAAUCAAAAUGACUUAUGUUUCUAUUACGCCACACAGUCUGUUCAGUCAUAUACUGAUAUAGCCGAUAGUGAUGCAAUGGACUCCUAGGGAACUGGGGUUACAUUAGUAACCUAGACGUUUCCAAUAGCCAUAUAGCUAGAAAACAACAUUUGUUAUGUUGAGAUCACACACAAAAAAAUUAAGUCAAAUCUUAAAAACAAUCAAUACAGAAUACAGGAAAAAAAUACUAAUGGCUUUUUAGGGUUUCCAUACCACUGUUGAUUUCUUCCAUUGACUUUUUCUUUGUUAUGUCAGUGGAAUGAUAUAUUCUUUACUUUUGUUUGACCUUUAACUAAAAGUAAAUAAGUAAUUUUUUUUAAACAAAGACUAUUGGUACAAACAUCUUUGCUAACUGAAAGUUAAUGGAUACUUAAAUAUCUUUCUUUGCUUGUUUUGUGUAUGAGAGAGAAUAGCCUGAAUUGUGCUCAGACUUGCAUGUCAGCUAUGACCUUUAAUAAAAAAACACACAUGAACCCACAUGAACAUCAACUCACACCAUCACUGUAUUGACAGCACUAAAUCCAUGCAUCUUUUGCUAAGUCAUGAACAUUGUUAUAGUUUGCAUCUGCACUUUCAAGACCUUACAGGUGGAAAGAAGGAAGCAACACAGGAAAUUGUGCACUGUUAGUGAAGUAUAUUAACGUCACUAUUUUUAUGCAGUAAGUUUUUUUUUUUUUUUUUUUUAAUCCGAUGUUUAAUUAAAUAUUUUUUAUUCAUAAAUAUUACUUAAAACAUUAAAUUGUUUUUUUUUUUCUGAUACAUACUAUUGCACGAGUCAUGUAUGUUAAAAUAUAUAUAUAUAUACACAGGUGCUGGUCAUAUAAUUAGAAUAUCAUCAAAAAGUUGAUUUAUUUCACUAAUUCCAUUCAAAAAGUGAAACUUAUAUAUAAUAUUCAUUCAUUACACACAGACUGAUAUAUUUCAAAUGUUUAUUUCUUUUAAUUUUGAUGAUUAUAACUGACAACUAAGGAAAAUCCCAAAUUCAGUAUCUCAGAAAAUUAGAAUAUUGUGAAAAGGUUCAAUAUUGAAGACACAUGGUGCCACACUCUAAUCAGCUAAUUAACUCAAAACACCUGCAAAAAGACCUUUAAAUGGUCUCUCAGUCUAGUUCUGUAGGCUACACAAUCAUGGGGAAGACUGCUGACUUGACAGUUGUCCAAAAGACGACCAUUGACACCUUGCACAAGGAGGGCAAGACACAAAAGGUCAUUGCAAAAGAGGCUGGCUGUUCACAGAGCUCUUUGUCCAAGCACAUUAAUAAAGAGGCGAAGGGAAGGAAAAGAUGUGGUAGAAAAAAGUGUACAAGCAAUAGGGAUAACCGCACGCUGGAGAGGAUUGUGAUACAAAACCCAUUUAAAAAUGUGGGGGAGAUUCACAAAGAGUGGACUGCAGCUGGAGUCAGUGCUUCAAGAACCACUACGCACAGACGUAUGCAAGACAUGGGUUUCAGCUGUCGCAUUCCUUGUGUCAAGCCACUCUUGAACAACAGACAGCGUCAGAAGCGUCUUGCCUGGGCUAAAGACAAAAAGGACUGGACUGCUGCUGAGUGGUCCAAAGUUAUGUUCUCUGAUGAAAGUAAAUUUUGCAUUUCCUUUGGAAAUCAGGGUCCCAGAGUCUGGAGGAAGAGAGGAGAGGCACACAAUCCACGUUGCUUGGGGGGGGGGGGGGGGGGAUUUGUGCAUUGUUACCUUUGAAAGACCUUUGGUCUUUCCUGACAUUACUGAACUUGGCGAUCUGAUAUAAAACCACUACUCUUUUUUUUUUUUUUUUUUUU